UUGCUUGUUGUGAUGGCAUAUAUACUAAAAUUGGAAUGAUACAGAGAAGACUAACACAGCCCCUGUGCAAGAAUGACACAGAAAUUUGUGAAGUGUUCCGUAUUUUU